rnacentral:snoRNA from 1 species
CUGCAGCCAAUUAAGCCGACCAGCCCCCUUGGGGGCCCGGUGUGCAGUGGCUGCAGACAGCAGCCUCCUUGGUAGUGUACGUGGCCUAUUGCCUGUACAGGUUGCCCUUCCUUGCCUAUUGUG